UCCGACGUAGCUCAGUGGUAGAGCAACCGGCUGUUAACCGGUUGGUCGUAGGUUCGAUCCCUACCGUCGGAGCCA
rnacentral:tRNA from 1 species